rnacentral:rRNA from 1 species
UACGUAGGCAGCGAGCGUUGUUCGGAGUUACUGGGCGUAAAGCGUGCGUAGGCGGUUUUGUACGUUUGGUGUGAAAUCUCCCGGCUCAACUGGGAGGGUGCGCCGAAAACUGCAAGGCUGGAGUGUGGGAGAGGUAGGCGGAAUUCCUGGUGUAGCGGUGAAAUGCGUAGAUAUCAGGAGGAACACCUGUGGUGUAGACGGCUUACUGGACCAUGACUGACGCUGAGGCACGAAAGCGUGGGGAGCAAACAGG